UACGGAAGGGGCUAGCGUUGUUCGGAAUCACUGGGCGUAAAGCGCGCGUAGGCGGCUUGGCAAGUGCGGCGUGAAAGCCCCCGGCUCAACUGGGGAGGGUCACGCGAUACUGUUCGACUCGAAGGCAGGAGAGGGAAGUGGAAUUCCCGGUGUAGUGGUGAAAUGCGUAGAUAUCGGGAGGAACACCAGUGGCGAAGGCGACUUCCUGGCCUGUUCUUGACGCUGAGGCGCGAAAGCUAGGGUAGCAAGCGGG
rnacentral:rRNA from 1 species